GAUGAACGCUGGCGGCGUGCCUAAUACAUGCAAGUCGAGCGAACGGACGAGGAGCUUGCUUCUCUGAUGUUAGCGGCGGACGGGUGAGUAACACGUGGAUAACCUACCUAUAAGACUGGGAUAACUUCGGGAAACCGGAGCUAAUACCGGAUAAUAUUUUGAACCGCAUGGUUCAACAGUGAAAGACGGUCUUGCUGUCACUUAUAGAUGGAUCCGCGCUGCAUUAGCUAGUUGGUAAGGUAACGGCUUACCAAGGCAACGAUGCAUAGCCGACCUGAGAGGGUGAUCGGCCACACUGGAACUGAGACACGGUCCAGACUCCUACGGGAGGCAGCAGUAGGGAAUCUUCCGCAAUGGGCGAAAGCCUGACGGAGCAACGCCGCGUGAGUGAUGAAGGUCUUCGGAUCGUAAAACUCUGUUAUUAGGGAAGAACAAAUGUGUAAGUAACUGUGCACAUCUUGACGGUACCUAAUCAGAAAGCCACGGCUAACUACGUG
rnacentral:rRNA from 1 species